rnacentral:rRNA from 1 species
UACGUAGGGUGCAAGCGUUAAUCGGAAUUACUGGGCGUAAAGCGUGCGCAGGCGGCUAUGCAAGACAGAUGUGAAAUCCCCGGGCUCAACCUGGGAACUGCAUUUGUGACUGCAUGGCUAGAGUACGGUAGAGGGGGAUGGAAUUCCGCGUGUAGCAGUGAAAUGCGUAGAUAUGCGGAGGAACACCGAUGGCGAAGGCAAUCCCCUGGACCUGUACGGACGCUCAGGCACGAAAGCGUGGGGAGCAAACAGG